GCAGCGGGGUUGGGCUCUGGCCGGGAGUCGACUGAAGGAGCGAGGACUGGGAGCGCGCGCGCGCGCGCGCCUGUGCCCGGACUGUUUGCCGCGGCCACUCGCUCUUUCUCCUCCCGCCUCAUGCCAGCGUCUUAUUCAGCCCCCUCAGCCCUUCCGCCCGCCUCCAGUCGCCAGCCUGCAGCUCCCACAUUUGACUAUAUGCACUGUGAGAUCAGACACUCGUCACCUGGGUUCACUGCUGUAUUCCAGUGCCUACAACAGUGCCUGGCACAAAGAAGGGCUCAAAGGCCCAAGACGAAGGAAGAAUGAGUGAGUCAGUCGAUCAAUCAGCUCACCAGCCAAAAUAAAGAAACAGCAACGGGCAGGACAGACCUCUCUGUCAUUCAGGUCCCUCCUUCGGUGAAUGAUACCAUGGUGAGAAAAGCCACUUGCAGAUGAAGUGAAUCCUUGAGAGAGAAUCAGAAGUGGAGCGAUCGUGGGCCUGGCCACCUAAAGCACCAAAAUUGACAGAGACGUGGACCUCACUGUUUUGCCUCUAGCUCCGACCCUGGUGCCUGAUAUACAGUAGAUGCUCAAUAAAUGCUUGUGGAAUGAAUGGUAUGUCUUCCAUCAGAUUCCUCGGAAGCACACCUGGAGACAAGGCUUCAUGUGAAGCGGUCCCUGACUUUCCCGUAGCGCUCCCGCCAUCUGCUGGUCAGUCUCGGGAUAGCAGGAAAGCGCAGGCCUCAGAGAGAGACGUUGCCUCCUCCUGGACUGCCAGACCCGGGCCGCGCCUCCCCAUCCUCGCGUGAGCACACGCACACGCACACACAGCAGCCAAGGAGAGCUGAGACGGCUUCUCACUCCGCUUCGUUUGUCCUCUCUCAUACCCCAUAACCUGGCAUACCUCCACUCCUGACUUACCUUUCGUUAUGAGCUGCUCAGCGUCAGGGCCACAGCUGACCCAUCUCUGUCAACCCUCGUUCCCACCCGCUAACUGCCCGGCACACGGCAGGUGCUCACGGGAUGCUCCUCGCGUGGCUAAGGGAAGACACUCCCUUUGGGGGAUUUCAUUCAUGGGCUCUGAUCUUUGGAGGGCUGGAAUGGCUCUUCCUUCUGGUGUGACUUGGCAAAACAACUCGAAAGGGAAGGAAGACACAGUGACUGUCUCUGUAAGUCAGCUGCCUCCGCCCCAGAAAGGACUGUUAUCUGAGGGGAGUAAUUAAGAUGAAUCUGUCCAAGGGGAGAGCAAGCUCUGGCUCCAGCAUUCCAACCUAGAGGCUCCUCCAUCACCCCAGUUCCUAAAUCAGCCCAGAGUGGCUGGGGGAGAGGAGGCUCCCAGGCCCAGGGGCUCGGCCAGGCUCCCAGCGUCCUCCUCAGAGCCUGGACUAGGGGCCUGGGGGCCACGGCUUAAAAGGGUGCCGCGAACAGGCUCGUGCCAGAUGAGAAUUGCCCACUCUCCCUUUGGCCUGGAACUCUCGUGCGGCUCGGCACAGCGCAGGUUCUGAUCUCGUCUUCAACAUUUUGACAGUUUAUUCAUCAUGGAGUUUAUUGCAUGAGUUUUAAUUUUUAUCAAAUAUCAUAUUAAUGAAAGUUGGGACUUAAACAGUACCUGUGCACCCAGGUUCAUAACAGCAUUAUCCACACCAGCCAAAGGCUAGGAAGCGCCCCACAUGUCCAUGGAUGGAGGAGUGGAUGAACCAAAGAAGGAAGUCCAAGGGGUGCUUGGGUGACUCUGUCGGUUAAGCACCUGCAUUUGGCUCAAGUCAUGAUCCUGGAGUCCUGGGAUCCAGCCUGCUGAGCAGGGAGUCUGCUUCUCCCUCUCCAUCCUCCUGUCCCCCAGCUUGUGCGCUUGCUUGCUCUCUCUCUGUCUUUCUCUCUCAAAUAAAUAAAUACAAUCAUAAAUAAACAAACAAACAAAAGAAGGAAGUUCUGACCCCUGCUUCCAUAUGGACAAACCUGGAGAAUAUCAUGCUGAGUGAAAUAAACCAGACACGAAAAGACUAAGACUGUAUGAUUCCCUUUAUAUGAAGUACGGAGAGUAGCCGAAGUCAUAGAGACAGAAAGCAGAAUGGAGGUUGCCAGGGACUGGGGGGAGCAGGGAAUAUGGAGUAUUUAAUGGGAAAGUUUUAGUUGGGAAAGAUGAGAACGUUCUGGAGGGGAUGGUGUGAAUGUAUUUAACAACACUGAACUGAACACUUAAAAAUGGUUAAAAUGGUAAACUUUAUGGAGUAUUUUACCAUAAUAAAAAGUACUGCAUUAAGGGGCACCUGGGUGGCACA